rnacentral:snRNA from 1 species
UUUUCAGCUUAAUAUCUGAAAGUUCCCGCAUUGCGGGACCAGUAUAUUAAACUGAUUUUUGUAAAAAGAUGAGAUGUUAGGGGCUCGCUCCACUCUCGUCAUGG